rnacentral:rRNA from 1 species
CCUACGGGAGGCAGCAGUGAGGAAUAUUGGUCAAUGGACGGAAGUCUGAACCAGCCAUGCCGCGUGCAGGAUGACUGCCCUAUGGGUUGUAAACUUCUUUUAUAUGGGGAUAAAAUGUUCCACGUGUGGGAUUUUGUAUGUACCAUAUGCAUAAGGAUCGGCUAACUCCGUGCCAGCAGCCACGGUAAUCCGGAGGAUCCGAGCGUUAUCCGGAUUUAUUGGGUUUAAAGGGAUCGUAGGUGGAUUGUUAAGUCAGUUGUGAAAGUUUGCGGCUCAACCGUAAAAUUGCAGUUGAAACUGGCAGUCUUGAGUACAGUAGAGGUGGGCGGAAUUCGUGGUGUAGCGGUGAAAUGCUGAGAUAUCACGAAGAACUCCGAUUGCGAAGGCAGUUCACUGGACUGCAACUGACACUGAGGCUCGAAAGUGUGGGUAUCAAACAGGAUUAGAUACCCCAGUAGUC